rnacentral:lncRNA from 1 species
AUGUGUAGUUGGUCUGUGAUUGGAACUGUUCGCGUUUCACCCAGCAUUAAGCAGUAUCCUUUUAUUCACUAGAUGCAGAAACAACAAGGAAUGAAGAUAAAGGAGUGGAGAGAUUGAAGUUCAUUUUGAUGCUACCGAAAAAACAAGUCGUCUCCUAUGGUGUUUUAACUGUUAACUUUUCAUCUUGGACGCUUUUGUAUUAACUAAUUAAGGUAAGCAUACAUGCAAUUAAUUAAGGUGAGCAUACAUGCUAUAUUGUGUAUGUGCUAUAUUUAUUUGAUAUUAACAGAGAAUAAGGUUCAGCAUUACUUUGACAAUGUAUUAUGCACGUUAUUUACUAGGAAGGUUAAAUUAAUUUCACAAAGAUUUCAUUGUAGAACAUUAGAAGACCUCCAGAUGCCAUUAAAUUAGGGAGCAUUGUGUCAAUUCUCAAUUGCUCCAGAAAGUAGCUAUACGUUUGGCCCUAAAACAAGCAUGAAAAUGCCAUUUUUUCAUUAGGAACAGAGACAGUGUGCUGUUACUGAAGAAAUGAUUUACGACAAUAAACUGAUAGGUCACAGUAUCAAUUAAAAAUAUUAAAUAAGGUCCCAGAAAAUUCCUUAGACAUUUGUAAUUUGCUCUAAUAGACAUUUUUUAAACAAUAUUUCAGAAAUAGCAGAUGCUAAACAGCAGGAUUAAUGUGGAACUGAUCUUUUCAUCAGUACGAACAUUUCUGAUUAACUUUAAAAGUGGUAAUUAAUUACUUUUUCUUGCCUCUUUUUAUAGAUUAUUCAACAAAUGAGAAGGAAUCGCAAUUGAUUUUGGUGCUACUAAAACAACCCAUUUUGAUGUCUUCACCUUGCAAUAUUGUGCAGUUAAUUUUGUUCCUGAGAAUAGGAGGCAAUUGGAAAUUAAUUUGGAAGCCACUGAAACAACAAAUUUGCGCUGUGGCAUCCCUCCUAUAUUUGGUUUACUCAUCAUACUGGUAGAUUUUAGAACGGUACUUUCUACAGUUAAUUAAGAUAUCUAUUGACCACAGAAUCUAUGGUAUUUCGUUGAAAGUUUAUCUACUGUUUACUGUUCAAGUCGUGCAUCUGUGGAAUGUUCAUAAUUUUUUGUUGUGUAUUGACAUCACCCCUCUAUGAUUAUUUCACAUUUAUCUGUCAAACGUAAUAUGUCAUGUAUAGUUGAGGCUUGUCGCCAUCUUAUAUUUCAGCUGCUUUACUUGGUUUUUGGUACUUGCUUUUAGGUGUGAUUGAUCUCAUCCUAAAUUAAUAGUGCAAUUAAUAUAUUUUUUGUUAAUUUCUGCAGAUCGUCCAACAAAUGAGAGAGCGUUUACGUUCGAUUUGGUCGUACUGGAACAACCAAUGCCUACAUGGGUGUGGUCUUUUGUAAAUCAUAUUCUUGAUUUGCUGUUUUCGCCUUCACUUUGCAACAUUAUGCAGUUAAUUUUCAACCGACGAGUAAGAGCAACUGGAGGUUUUUUUGAAUUCCACUGAAAUAACAAAUUUUCUGCGGUAAUAUUCCUCUUGGAUUUGGUUUACUUUUCACACCUGCA